UGAUGCUUCUCUGUGCUUUCCCGGGUAGU
rnacentral:piRNA from 1 species